rnacentral:lncRNA from 1 species
AGCUCCUUUUAAAAAGGGUCCAAUAGACAGAGUCUUUGAUUUUGACUUGCCCUCCUGAGUAAGGAUGGUAGCUUUCAUGGAAUUUCUGUAGCAUCAGGCAGAAAACUGAGGCUGAUCUAGGAAAGAUUUCUUGAGAGCCUAGAUUUACCUAAGAGGGGCAUGUGGAUGUAACGGAAAUGAUUUUGGACAAAGUUAGGGGUGCCUGUCUUCCUAAAGAUGAGAAAAUAUGGUUUUAAACCUUAGGGGAAAUUUUCUAAUUUAAGGUUGUUUUUUUUUUUUUCAAUAUUUUGUUGUAAAAUAUGAACUUAUGAAGUUUCUUGAAUGGAUUUUUGGUACAAGACCAAUGGAGAAAUUAUUGGGAGGAAUAGUAGUUGAAGUUGAUGAAAGUGCAAAGUGAUACUGGGCAUUUUUGUGUGAAGAAAGAUCUUCAAACAUGACUGGAUGAGCCAAUGGGGCAAGAUAACAGGACUCAUCUAGUGAUCCAUCAGCCAAUCAAGAGCUCUCAUCAAGCCUGUCUUCUCCAUGGGAAAGCAACAUUCUGCAAGGACCUGCAGUACUACUUUUUUUUUUUUUUUUUGGCCUUACUUUAGUCAUUGUUAAAAAAAUGAAUUAAUAAAUCUACAUGUGUGUAAAUGACAAUCAAUAUUGUUCAACAGGAGGAUUUGUAAAAUUAAGAUCUACACAAAAGUAAAAUAAUGUUUAUAAAUUUGACACAGAGUGAUUGUACAAGAUUUCAUUGAGUGAAGUUACAUACACAUUAUAUCUCUGCUAUUUCUAUUUUACUUUGAAAUAACAAAGAUUUCCAGCUUCGAAUGAGUUGGUAAACUGUCAUCUACAAAUCAAACUGGAUUUUUAAAAGUCUGUUAAUCACAAAUCCUGAUUGAAAUGUUUCAACACUACACCUCACAAUAAAUAUUUGUUCAAAGAAUGAACUAAGUUAGUCAAACAAUGUUGAAGUUUAUUGAUUUUUUAAAUUGAGUUAUAAUUUAUAAACAAAAUACUCACAUGUGAAAAGUGUCUUUCAACCAGUUUCAACAGUAUC